GCAUCGGGGUGCCUUUCACACUUGAACGUGGGGUUGGGAAAGUGUGGUUUCCUCUUCUGUUUGCAGUUGGAAACUACGACCACAAAAUUGAUGGCCACAGCCCACGGGUGAACAUAGCAUCUUAACCACCGCACCCCACCAUCUUCACCCCGGGAGAGAGGCGUCGGGCAAACGGAAACAGAUCACUGAGAUCCUCGCAGCCACACGUGGUUUGCAGGUGCUCACAGGGGUGGGUGUUGUCACUUGCUAUUUGUCGCAUUGUCAUAUUCACUCAACUUGGUGUCAUUUGUCACACUGUUGUAUUCAUUCAACGUUGAAUCAGGGGCCCCAAACAGGGGGUCCCACAGCCAUCCUGCCUGCUGCCUGGCUCAAAGGUUGGCGUGACCAGUGCCCUGGCAUGGGAGGUGACUUGGGUUCCCACAGAGACCCGGGGCCCCCUGGCUUCCCCACCCUUUAGGUGCCACGUGCGGCCACUGCUGUAGAGUCAUCCCGGGGCCCGCUGCCCCCAGCCACCCCUGCAGGCCAGGUGGACUGUCCUUCUGGAAACAACCAAACCUGCCUGUGUGCUGGGCCGGCGCACGGAAACCCAGGUGAUGUGAGCGACAUCAGGGAGCAGGACAACUGAAAAGUGGCAAAAGCGACCCCGUCAGCACAGCCAGCCGGCACUCAGCGGUACUGAAAGAAGCCUCUCUUGGUGAAGAAGACCAUCUUGAUGAUGAUACGGAUGCUGGCAGUAAUGACACAAAAGGUGACAUCAACAGUAGCAAGCACUACCGAUGCCCUACAGAGCGUCAGCUGCAUCUCAGCCCAGCAUCCCCGUGAUGCCAGGUCCCAGCUGCUCACUGUGCCUUUGCACUCGGGGGAACUGAGGCUCAGCUAAGCUAAGCACCUUGUCAGAGCUGCAAAGCAAGUGAGCGACUGACUCUGAUUCAAACCCAGUCCUGUCUGAGGCAGGAGCUCGCCCCUUUCUCCGCCACGACAGGGCGCCUCCUCUUCUCCCGUGGUGCUCAAGGUUCUGCUGCCAGUCAGAUUUCCAGCUCUGCAAGCGUUCGAAAAGCUGAAUGCCUGAAACCAGUGUUUGUUUUGAGUGCAGAAAGUGAAGGAGGAAUUCAUUGUGCUGCAGCAAGUGAAAACCCGAACCCUUGAGGAGGGGAAAAAAAAAAACCCAACCAACGUGUAAACAGUGUGGAGAUUGAGUUUCAAAGCCCUUGUUUUCGUAAAGUUUAAUUAUAUUUCAACUAGAGCCAAACUGUCAAAACGGGGUGGUGGUGGUGGGGGGGUCUGCCUGCUUUGAAAACGCAUCAGCUGUCUUCUGUAAAAGCCCAUAAUUGAUACCUGAGGUGAAGCUGGAGCUGGGUGGGGGGACGGCCCCUCAGAUCGUGCCAAAGGCACUUCCCCACAGACCACG